UAUUAUCCAAAUCGAAAAUAAUGAUACUUUAAUACAAUCAAAACCCAAACUUCAUUAUUUUAGUAAUUUUUCAAUUAAGUCAAGCCUUCCCUCCAAAACCCAGCUAAAAGUUUCACAAAAUACAUUCUUGAACCAUUUCUUAGAUACCCAUUUCAGAAAUCUUCAUGGUUUUAGAAACAUGUUUGAAUCCAGACCAAGAAUUGUGUUAAGCUUCCUAGUCCUGGUCUACUUAUCCUCAGUUCCGUUACCAGUUGAGUCCCAAUGCAAGAAAGGUUGUGACUUAGCUUUAGGUUCAUUCUAUGUACGGACGGGUCCAAAUCUCACUUUAAUCUCACAGAUGUUCUCCACCAGUAUACCUGAACAGGAUAGUGUCAUAGCUGGGACAAGAAUUAACAUACCUUUCGUUGUGAUUGCUUGGAUGGGGAGGUAUUGGGACAUUCUUUUCCGUACAAGCUUAAACCCGGCGAUACUUAUGAUCUGAUCGCGAGGAACUACUCCGAUGUUACGACUGUGGAUAUGUUGAAGGUUUAAUAAGUAUCCGGAGGAUGAUAUCCCGGAUACUGCGACCUUAAACGUGACAGUGAAUUGCUCCUGUGGGGAUAGUGGUGUUUCUAAAGAUUAUGGGCUGUUUGCUACAUACCCUGUGCGGGCGGAGGAUAACAUGACGUCGGUGGCUUCAGCGGCCAAUGUGAGCGAAGAUAUAGUCCGAAGGUAUAAUCCAGGGGCGGAUUCCAAAUUAGAUAUCGGGGCAGGAAUCAUCUAUAUACCGGGAAGAG